UCUACCACUGAGCUAAAUCCCCAACCCACAAGCAGGGUUUCUUAGACGCUGUCUCUGACAUCCUAAGUAUUAAGAAUAGGAUAGCACUUGCUUUUACUCUUAGAACUCUUGAGUUUGAGGCUAUCUUAGUCUAUAGGGUUACAUAGUAAGAACUCUCAAAAAGCACAAAGUAUUGAAUAGUUUAAUUUUUUGGUUUUAUAAUUUGUUUUAGAUUCCCUUUAAAUUUAGACUGCAUUUAAACAAAUUGUUUUAAAUGUGUCCAUUCUGAAUGUUACACACUAAUUACACCACUAGCAAGACAGGAAUUCUAGGGAGAUCUUUAUACAUGUAUGUAUUUUGCAUAAUGCUAGGAAUGAAACCCAGGAUCUUUAGUCAGUGCUUAAAGCAUCUUCCUACUGAGCUCCACUCUUGACUCCCUUUCAGGAAGAGUAUUAAUGCAGGCACCUCUGGGAACCUCCCGACCUCUAGCCAUGGAUGGAUCACACCUUCUUAAGCUGCAUACCACAAGGAAAUUCAGGUCUACUCCCAAAGCUUUCUGAAUUUUUAUAGAUUUGGUCUGAGAGUAAAUUGAAUUUAUCUUCCCUAAACUUAUUUAGAAAAUACGUAUGUAGCUUACAAAUAUAGCUAAUAAGUUAGGUGACAUACAGGAGCUGGGAAAGGUGGAGUCCAUUUACAUUUGGACUGUGAGCAAAGUCUCCUUUUUGUUUAUUUAGUUGUUUUCUUGUAUUAAGACAAAUUUUUAAUGCCAGAGGUACAUUUGGGAAGCAGAAAAGGCAGAUGAAUCUCUCAAUUAGAGGCCAGCCUAGUCUAUAUAGAGGCUCUAGGCUAGCAGUAUUAGUCAGGGUUCUCUUCAGACACAGAAUAUAAUUAUUAGAAUGACUUACAGGAUGCAGAUCAACAAACCCAACAAUGGUAAGCUAUGAAUGGAAAGUUCUUGAAUCCAGUAGUUGCUCAGUCCCACACGGCUGUUGUCUCAGCUGGAAUCCUGGAGAAGUAAGUUCCAAUGCCAGAAAAGGAAAGGAUGUCCUAGCAAGGUAAGGGGAAACAGUGGAAGAACAAACCUUUCUUCUUCCAUUGUUUUUUUUACAGACUUCCAGCAAAUGGUGUGGCCCAGACUACAGGUGUCUCUUCCCACCUAAUGUCUGAAUUAAAAGCUUGUGUCUUCCCAACUCAAGUUAUGGAUGAUAAGCCUCUCUUCAUCAAAUUGAAAACCAACAGUAGCGAUCCAGGCUACCCCUUGUCACUUGACACAUCUUCUUAUAUCAUAUCUCCUUAUGUCAUGGUUAAUAUCCAAAUAAAACAAUAGCCAGGUCAUAAUAAUACCUAAACAUAAUAUAACUAUCCCAUGUACAGUUGCAAAUAUGCAUUACAUAUUUUAAAAUAAAUCUUUUUUUAAUUUACUUUAUUUAAUGUAUAUGAGUACACUGUCUCUGUCUUCAGACACACCAGAGGAGGGCAUCGAGGGCAUCGGAUCUCAUUACAGAUGGUUGUGAGCCACCAUGUGGGUUGCUGGGAUUUGAACUCAGGACCUCUGGAAGAGCAGUCGGUGCUCUUAACCACUGAGCCAUCUCUCCAGCCCGCAUUACAUAUUUAACCAGGUCAUAAUUACCACUAACAUAACUCAUACAACCACAAGGGCAAAAUAAAUUUAGAAUAGGUGGCAUUAUCCCUUAAGGGACGUCCUAUUAGUAUUCUCUUAAUUCAUGCUACAACAUAGGAUAAAAAACAAUCUAAAGAAAGCACAAAUAUCUGUACAAAUCCAUUUUAAAUAAAAUACAGCAGAAGCACUCAUGUCAAUUACAAGCCGCAUUUUUGCAACUAGUCAUGUGGCCCUAGAUGGGAUUUCUAACUGCCUUCCUCUACUAUCCAUUCCUAAUUCUUUCCACCCUCUGUAAGGACCUCAGCAGGUCUUGGCCCUUUUCCUAGAGAAGUGACCCAUAUCAUAAUUACUGAUGAGUCUGUGCUGCCCUUUGUCGUCCUGCCUGGAUUAGGCUGUUGUGGUUUCCCGUUGACUUCAGUCACAGGACACAGUAGUACCAAGAGAUGCCCUAAAGGAUAUCCUGUACUCCAGACAUGAUGCUUCUGACCUCCCUUGUGGAGAAGCAACCCAAUUUCCCCAUGGUAAUCUGGUUCUAUUACCCCUCCUAACACUGUUAUUCUUUUCUUAGCCUAUUGGUUUAAGGACAGUAGAAGCCUAAAAUGAGCAGGGGACAUCAGAGCCUGCAGGUCUAUGAAAUAUUCGUUGUAGCUCCUGGCAGGAACACUCUCCACUUUGGAAGCAAAGCUUCCAGGCCAGCAGAACUUAGGGUUGUGAGAACAACCUAAGGGAGAGAGUGAGAGGAACUAUUUGCUUUUCAACCCCUUGAUUCCUGGACCCAUGGAUUGUGGCUAUAGGAGAAACUACUAUGUAUUGGGUUUACCUUCUGGAAAACCCCGCCCCAGCCCUCCAGGCUGCUGCCACCUAAUUAGCACCCUUACUGCCUUCAAAGGGCCAUUCUAUCUUUCUAAUAAGCCAGCUGCUUCAGAAUGAUGGAGAAUGUGGUAAGAUGUUCCAGCCUCAAAAUCUGCAUCAAGAUCCAGUCACAACUAUGCUCUCCACUUCCGGACUGUCGUUCCGUCCACAUUGACAACUAAACAGUAGCCAUCACACCAGCCAAGGCUGCAUAGUGUGGCUGUCUCAGAAAACAACAGAAAAAGAAAGCAUUUAUAUAUCAUGUGUGUGCAUUUGAGAACAACUUGUGGGAUUGGUUCUCUCUCUACACUUCAUGGGUUCUGAGGAUUAAACUCAGGUCCUCAGCAGGCAAUUUAUGGAGCCAUUUACUGCUGUUUAGGUUUUUCUCUAAAAGAAAAACCCAAACUAACCUCAAACUCUUGGUUUUCUAUCUCUGUUUCUUGGUUGCUGAGAUUACAGGUAGGUUUGUGCCCCAAAUUCUCCUUAAAAUCAUAUUGGGAACACUUAAAUUUGUGUCACCUGAUUCUGUACAUUGUAAGGAAGAUUAUACAGUUCUGGCUGUCUACUAAGUAUCCAUACAAAGUCAGUUCUUAUUUCAAAAAUGUCAAGUAACAUUGACUCACUCAAGAACAUGAAUUCAGGUUGCUUCAGGGGAAUGAUUCUAAAAAGUAUUUAUAGUUUCAAAACAAAAGAAAGUCCUAACUCAAGGCAUUUUCCAAAUAAAUGGGUAACAACAUCCAGUUAGUUGGGUUACUGGACAGUGUAGAAAUCUCUUUUGUAGGUCGUCACUGUUACUAAUGGCAUUCAGCUUUUGGGGUAGUGGAAGCCUGGGGGCAAUGAAUGUCUAUUAUGUGAGCUAAAGUUUGCCAUGGAUAAUUUCAUUGUGGACCUGCAACAUUUCAACUCUCCACAAUCACAGAAGUUGUAAUCAACCAGUGAGCCUUAUACAAUCUUUAACAGCCAUGCUUCUUUUCUAAAAAAAAGAAAAGAAAAGUACAAAUUCCCCAGUACACCCUACUAUGCACUCAGUACUUGAAAAAUGAAACUAACCCCAUCAGUUUUUUUAAAAAUCUGUGAUGUUUGUAUGUGUUUGAGUUUAAACACUGACUUACACCUAAAACAAUAUUUAAAAAUAACUUUUGAAAUAUUUCUUAAUGUUUUUACCCAUUUAUAUUCAUGUGUUGGAGCCUUUGUUUUCUCCCAUCUUGGAUUCCAGAAUUCUGGAAGCUGACAAAAGACAAGUUUUAUGCAAAUGCUUCUUUUCUUUGCAUCUAUGAUGCUCCCAAUAAUAAUUUUACCAUCUCAUUUUAAGAUUACCUUUUUAAAAUAAUGAGCGUCAACAUUAAUAAGCUCAGCCAACAUUCAUUAAAUUGCAGGGGUUAGUUUUAUUUUUAUUUUUAUUUUAAAUACUUUUUUUAAAGAUUUAUUUAUUCUAUGUAUGUGAGUACACUGUCGCUUUCUUCAGACACACCAGAUGAGGACAUCAGAUCUCAUUGCAGAUGGUUGUGAGCCACCAUGUGGUUGCUGGGAUUUGAACUCGGGACCUCGGGAAGAGCAAUCAGUGCUCUUAACCACUGAGCCACCUCUCCAGCCCCAGUUUUAUUUUUUAUUAUGUACUUAUUUAUUUAUUUUUAUUUUUACACUCCAGAUUUUAUUCCCUCCCGGCCCCUGCACUCCCCCCUCCCUGUCUCCACAAGGAUGUCCCCACCCCACCCACCCCACCAGACCUCUGAACUUCCUGAGGCCUCCAGUGCUAUGCAGGCUGCUGAGGGGAAAAGUCAUCAGGCCUUACUCAGCUGUGGGUCCUACAGGGUAUAUUACUGACCAGACAGGUAACGUGCCCACUUGUGUAGUAGUGGAAAAUCUGUUGUGAGUAUAACCAAUGACUUUCUGCUUAGUUUGUAGGCCUGUUCCUCAGGAGAGAAUUUACAUCUGGUAUUAUAAACCUGACUGGAGCCCAUGGCUGGGAGCUCAUAUACCCUAGCAUGGAAACUAUAGCUUUUUUUGCUAAGUGAACAUGAUACACCUGACAAAUUCCAUUCUAAAUAAUUGUGUUUUUUUUCCCAUAGAUAAUGUGGUUAUCCGUGUUGAUCAGAGAAGCUUUUUUUUUCUUUUGCAAUGACCAAUGGUGACUGCAGACUCACAAGGGACCAAAGUACUAAACAUAAAUGAGUGACGGAUAUUCAGCCAUAAGUGAGGCAUCUGUAUCACCCCCUUAAGGAAUACUUCAUAAUAGAGAAUGGAAAGAGGCAGAAAUUAGGGUGUGGAAGAUGUUGUGACACGCUGUCUUCUAGGCAUGACAUGCCAACAGUACUUUGCACCCCUGUUAUCACGGGCAUGGAAGAGCAGUUCCACCACUAGAGAAGUGUCAGCAACAAAAUGGCACAAGUUCCGGGCAUGGUGGAACAUGCCUUUAAUCUCAGCAUUUGGGAGGCAGAGAGGUAGACAGAUCUCUGUGAGUUCCAGGCCAGCCUGGAAUAUAUGGUAAGUUCAUGACAGCCAGGACUAUGUAGAGAGACCCUGACUCAGAAACACCGAUGAUGAUGAUGAUGGUGGUGGUGGUGGUGGUGGUGGUGAUGGUGAUGGUGAUGAUGAUGAUGAUGAUGUAUGCAAAUGCUUAUAAAAUACAAUUCACAGCAGCUAAAAUGUGGAAGAUCCAUGUAGGCUAGCUAAUGAAUAGGUGACCAAAUAUAAUUAUAUGUUCAAACAACAGACGAUAUGUGAUAGAAGAAUUUAAGCAGGGGAUCGCAGAGAUGACUCAGUGGAUUAAGAACACAUACUGGGGGUGGGGGCAGGCUCGAUUGAUGGUUCAUUCAGUGGUUAAGAGCACUGACUGCUCUCCAGAGAUCCUGAGUUCAAUUCCCAGCAACCACAUGGUAGCUCACAACCAUCUGUAAUGGAAUCCAAUGUGAUGUGUCUGAAGAGAGCAACAGUGUAUAUUUAUUCAUAUACAUAAAACAAACAAAGUUUAAAAAGAACACAUACUGUUGCAAGCAGAGGUCCCAAGUUCUGUUCCUAGAACCUACUAUACCAGGCUGCACACCAGCACCUGUAACUGCAGUUCUAGGAGAUCCGACACCCUCUUCUACUCCAUGGCCGCCUGUAUACACAUACUCACACAGAGACUUACAGGAUUCCCUAGAGAAACAGAACUGAUAUUUUUAGAAGAGAUAGGCUCUAAUGCCAGUGAAGCAAGCUUGUUCCACAUGCUAUUAUAUAGACUGCCACCAGAAAGUGUGGCCCAGAUUUAAGAUGGGUUUUCCUACCUCAAAUCAUCCAGACUAAAAGACAAAAACUUUCACAGGUAUACCCAGCAACCAGCAACUGUGGUUUUAUUCCAGACGUAAUCAAGUUGAUAACCAAUACUCAUCACAUGUAUAUGCACACAAUUUUAAAUGCUUGUGUUUUUUAAAGAAUGUAACAAGCCAGGCAAUGACACAUGCCUUUAAUACCAAUACUUCAGAAACAGAGGCAAGUGGUUAUCUAUGAACUCAAGGCCAGCCUGGUCUUCAGAGGAUAUUCUAGGAAAACCAGGUCUUCACAAAGGAACUCUGUCUCUCAUACACACACACAUCACGCGCAUGUGCGCACACUCGAACACACACACAGACACACACACACACAAAGAGAGAGAGAGAGAGAGAGAGAGAGAGAGAGAGAGAGAGAGGAGAGAGAGAGAGAGAGAACUAAUUGGCAAAGUACUCGCCUAGCAUGCAAAAACCCUGGAGUCAGAGGCCAGCACUAUACAACCCAGACAUAGGCUAACCUAUAAUCCUAAUACUUAAAAGAGGUGCGUACAGGAGGUUCAGAAGGUCGAGCUUGUCCUUGCCUACUUAGUAGUUAGAAGACAACCUGGGAUAUUGUGUCCUUGUUUUAAAAACAGAAGGCCAUUCCAUUCCUAGGCAUGCCUAAGAAACCUAAAACCUUCAGGUAUUCACAGUAAGCAUUUAGGAUUUCAAGUUCCAGGGCAGCCUGAACUAUGUAGUGAUACCCGGUAUCAAACAAGAACUAGAUGGUUGAUGGUAGCACAUACCUUUAAUCCCAGCACUCAGGAAGCUGGGGCAGUUGAAUCCAGUUUGAAGCCAAGCUGGUCUACUGAGUUCCAGGACAGACCACAAGGAGAAACCUUGCCUUGGGGAAAACAAAAGCAAACCAAGCUCAGGACACUUGCUGUUCAUGCAGAGGAUCUGGUUCUCAGCAUUCACUUCCUCUUCUGGCCUCUGCAAGCUACAGCAUAUACAUGCAGGCAAACACCCAUUCACAUAGUUUGCUGGAGCCACAUGGUGGAAGGAAAUCUGAAAGCCACAGGUCUUGUCAUUUAUAUUGAGGCAGUGGUAGCACACGCCUUUAAUCCUAGCACUCAUAAGGGAGAUACUGUAGGAUCUCUGUGGAGUUCAAGGCCAGUCUGUUCUUCAGAGUGAGUUCCAGAACAGCCAGGGCCUCACACAAAAACCCUGUCUCAAAAACCAAAGACAAAACCAAAAAAACCUUUAUACUUACCUUGUUUUUUAUGUAGCUGCAUGAAUGAAGGCCAGAGUUAGCUCUUUCCAUCAUGUGGUCUCAUGGGUCCAAUUGUGGUCCCGUAGUUCAUCUGCACCAUUGUUGGACACACACACACACACACACACACACACACACACACACACACGUGUGCAUACUAAAUGAGCAUAAUGAAGAAAAUAAACACUUCAAUGAACUAGUUUCAGAGUCUAUAAUAAAAACUUGAAAAGAAGAAAUUAGGCUUUUCCUUUUACGUGAAAUGUGCUUCCGGAUAAUGCACUAUCUAAUGACACACACAACAGUUACAUUGGUAAAACACCAACAAUGGUGCAGAUGAACUACGGGACCACAAUUGGACCCAUGAGACCACAUGAUGGAAAGAGCUAACUCUGGCCUUCAUUCAUGCAGCUACAUAAAAAACAAGGUAAGUAUAAAGGUUUUUUUGGUUUUGUCUUUGGUUUUUGAGACAGGGUUUUUGUGUGAGGCCCUGGCUGUUCUGGAACUCACUCUGAAGAACAGACUGGCCUUGAACUCCACAGAGAUCCUACAGUAUCUCCCUUAUGAGUGCUAGGAUUAAAGGCGUGUGCUACCACUGCCUCAAUAUAAAUGUAAUUUUAAAAUAAUAAAAAUUAUUCCUGUUGAAAUAAUUCAGCAAGCAAGACACCCUCUGCCCAGCUGGGUGACCUGUGAUCUCCAGAACCACACAGCAUAGAGAACUGACCCUUUAACCUUGUCUUUAGAAUAGAAGCCAUCAAAACAUUAACCAAUGAAUAGUAAAUGUGCUCGAUUGCUUAGAAAAAUAGAUAAGCGGGGCUGGGGAUUUAGCUCAGUGGUAGAGCGCUUGCCUAGGAAGCACAAGGCCCUGGGUUCGGUCCCCAGCUCCGAAAAAAAGACCAAAAAAAAGAAAAAAGAAAAAUAGAUAAGCAAGGAAUUCACUGGACUUCAGUAACCCCCUUGCCAAGUAAACACUGGUUAUUUAACCACCAUUGUGUGGUGUUUAAGACAGCUCUUAGACUUAACUCCCCACCCACCUUGCAUCUACACUAAGGAGACCAAAAUAGCACAGUGAAUGAGAGCUCUGGAUUGGUUGUAUGGGAUUGCAUGUGGCCAGCAAGGGACACACUGUUAAAGCUAUCAUUGACCUGUCAUAAAGAGGCAGAUAUAGUGACCCUUGCUUAUAAAUCCCAGCAUUUAGUGACUAAAGCAGUAGGACCCUCAGUUACAGUCCAGACUAGGAUAGGUAGUGAAUAAAACCUCCUCUCAAAAUUAGUAAAGAGAGAUCUACCUCAUUCUGUGCUGAGUGUGUGGCACCCAUCCCAACAGGGUAGUGAAGAGGCCUCCCUGAAAAAUACUUAAGGAGCUGAAGACAGUAUCUCCUUUCAUUUCUCUGCUUAGUCCUAGUAACCCUUUGAUGGGCAGUUCUCUCAUGUAAUUUAAGGUUCUUAAGUGUGCUUCAGGCCCCUUACCAUUUAACUUCAGUAGCAACCCCCUCCUUCUGGUAACAGCCUUUAGUAUAUCCAGAUAGUGUCAAAUAACUUCAGAUUCAGAACCAGAUUGAGAACCACUGGCCUAGUUUAUAAACCAAUGGCCUGCUUUUCUGUUGAACAUUAGUGAGUGACUAAGCUUUGAUCUAGCACAUUUUUAUCUUCGCUUUUGGUGCUGAGUUGUAUUGUUAUCUCCAAUUAAAUAUUUAUGCUUUUUUUUUUUUUACUUUUUAUUGUCUGUUUUUUUUGAGACAGGGUUUCUCUGUGUAGCCCUGGCUGUCCUGGAACUUACUAUGAAAACCAGGCUGACCUUGAAUUCAGAGAUCCAACGGCCCGUGGGCUUCAAGAUGUGAACCAUUACACCCUGCCUUAUUUUACUCUUGAUAAGUUUAUCUGAAGUCUUAUGUGGUUGUCCCACACAUACAAGGACUCCGUUAUCGCGUGUGGUGAUAUGUAGAGUACACUCACAAGGCUGUGUGUUGGGUUGAGCACUUUAAACCUAGAGUUUAAUAGCAUAUUCAGAAUAACGAUGGUAAACCAUGACUGUAAAGCGGCCAAGCCACAAACUGAGAAAGGUUAGUUUUAUCAUUCUGUGUGCUGAUGCCCCUCAGAACUGCAACAUUUUCCUAAACAUCUUCUGACCAUCUUAGCCUAGCUUCAGAGUAUCUAUUCACAUACUAAAUAACUACGGUUCUAUACAUUUUCCCCAUAAUCUUGAACUGUGUUUAAAUUUACUGGGAAAAGUUUGAAUUGUAUAAUAUCAAUCAAAACCAAUAAAAUAUUGCUGAUUCUUCUCAUCAGUUUUCAUUUUUAAAGGUUUAUUUAUUAUGUAUAAGUACACUGUAGGACUGGAAAGAUGGUUCAGAGGUUAAGAGCACUGUUUGCUCUUCCAGAGGUCCUGAGUUCAAUUCCCAGCAACCACAUGGUGGCUCACAACCAUCCAUAAUCAGGUCUGGUGCCCUCUUCUGGCCUGCAGGCAUACAUGCAGGCAGAAAGUUGUAUGAUGUAUACUAAAUAAAUAAAUAAAUAUUCUUUUAAGACUGAAGGAACACCCAUUCAGAGUCUGCCCCACAUGUGGCCCAUGCAUAUACAGCCAUCCAAUUAGACAAGAUGGAUGAAGCAAAGAAGUGCAGACCGACAGGAGCCGGAUGUAGAUCGCUCCUGAGAGACACAGCCAGAAUACAGCAAAUACAGAGGCGAAUACCAGCAGCAAACCACUGAACUGAGAAUAGGACCCCCGUUGAAGGAAUCAGAGAAAGAACUGGAAGAGCUUGAAGGGGCUCGAGACCCCAUAUGUACAACAAUGCCAAGCAACCAGAGCUUCCAGGGACUAAGCCACUACCUAAAGACUAUACAUGGACUGACCCUGGACUCUGACCUCAUAGGUAGCAAUGAAUAUCCUAGUAAGAGCACCAGUGGAAGGGGAAGCCCUGGGUCCUGCUAAGACUGAACCCCCAGUGAACUAGACUGUUGGGGGGAGGGCGACAAUGGGGGGAGGGUGGGGAGGGGAACACCGAUAAGAAAGGGGAGGGGGGAGGGGGAUGUUUGCCCGGAAACUGGGAAAGGGAAUAACACUCGAAAUGUAUAUAAGAAAUACUCAAGUUAAUAAUAAAAAAAAAAAAUAAAAGUGACCAGAAGAAAAAAAAAAAGUACACUGUACUGUGAUUGUUAUCAGUCAUACAGCAAGCCAAACUAGAAACAAACAAAGCCAUUGCUCUGUAAACUGUCGAGUCUUUAAAUUCACAGCUAUGGAAAUCUUGGAAUGUAUUGAUUGUAGUGGGGGUCGGAUAUAGACCACUUUGCCUCAGGAUUUUUAACACAUGAUAUGUUCUCUUACCCCAGGCUCAAAACACAUCAUGACACAAAUACUAAGUAAUGCCAGUAUGCAGUUACAAAGUUCUUAAAUGAAACUACCAUUUUGUCAAAAUAUAUGGACUUAAACUUGAACUUUAUGGGCCUGGUAGGUCACUUUCACAGAGCAACCUAGCCAGAUGUAUUAACUCUGCAUAAAUAUAGCUGGGUGUGGUGGCUGUUAGGGAACUGUGACUAUUUUUUUUUAUUCAAAACAUGGCUCACAGGGCACUAUUUACAUUAAAGAAGAAAAACCAGUCUUGAUAUAGUUUCUUUGACUUGACUAGUGUUUAUUUUUUGUUUUUUGUUUUUUUUUAAGUUGUGAAUCAAAAGAGUAACCAGAGUCCAAGAAAAAUAAUAGGUUAUACAGGGCUUGGGAAUGUGGCUUAGUGCUACAACACUUGUCUAACAUAUUAGAGGCCCUAGAUUCAAGCCACCAUUGGAAACAAAAACAAUAGACUCUUCCCUCUCAACCUGUCCAUUCUAGCCUUUAAACAAUAGCCACAGACAGAUGAACUUUCUAGAGAACACCAGCUGUGCUAUGACUACUUCCCUCUGGCAUUGCAGUUCCUAAGGAUACCAACCAGAGUCUGUCACGUGUCCACACCAUGACACCCGGCAUGCCCUGCAUUCAGCGUCUUACUGAUUCAUGGUUAGUUCACUCAACAAAGACCUGUCAUGGAUCAGACACUCUAGCAGGUGUCUUUGUAUAACUAAUUACAGCUAUGCUAUGCAUGCUUUUCCUCACCGCAUAGCAUACUGGAACUCUGGAGUCUGCCUUGUUCACCUCCUACAACAAGCCUCGAUGGAGCUCUUAAAACACGUUGUUGAGAUUAACCUUAACUGUCUGUCCUUCAGAAGGUGAAUGGAUAAACCAUAAUACAUUAACAUAAUUGAACACCACUCUAUAAUAAAUAGAAAGACACAAACCAGACCCACAUGGAUAUAUUAUGGAUAUGUAGAAAACAUAUUUAAGUGAAAAGUUAAGCACUUAACAAGAUGAUGUAUUAGAAAAAAUGAAAAAGUCAGGCACUAUAGUUUUUAUUUGUUUUGUUGAGCUUUUUAUUUAUUUUUUUAUUUUUAUUUCCUUUAAUUUUAGAUUUAUUUAUUUGUUAUUUAUAAGUACACUGUAGCUGUCUUCAGACACAGCAGAAGAGGGCAUCAGAUCCCAUUGAAGAUGGUCAUGAGCUACCAUGUGGCUGCUGGGAAUUGAACUCAGAACCUUUGGAAGAGCAGGCAGUGCUCUUAAACGCUGAGCCAUCUCUCCAGCCCCUGAAUUUUUUUGGGGGGGGAGGGGGAAGUGGGUUGAGAGCAUACAAAUACUGCAUCCUGAAGGGUGAAGACUUUGGCAGUUGAUUACAAUAUUAAAAUUAAAAAUAGCAGAUCUACUUUAUCCUACACAAGUAUUUGCAUGCGCAGUAAAUAGCAUGAACAAUAGCAGUUAAUGCAAUAUUGUUUUAUGGUAAAAGGCUAUCUAUUACUAAUAGACUCGCUAAAUUGUACAUAAAUCUUCUGCAUCCAGGACAGACAGACAGACAGACAGACAGACAGACACACACACACACACACACACACACACACACACACACACACACACACACGGAAUUUAUACAAUGUAUAUAAUUUAAUUAACUCUAAGACACUUCUAAAAUCAGAAGUGCUGUAAACUUUGCUUAUUUCCAGGAAGUUACUCUGGGCACCUGGGGCAAACUUUUGGAGGGAAAAAAACUUUUUACUCUGUCCUGGAAACGUUUGAGCCUUGAAGCACAGUCCAUCAGAAACUUUUAAUAAAUCAUCACAAAGAAUCUCUGGAUGAAGGGAGGGCAUGAGGUGGGGCACUAGGUUGGGAGUAUGGAGCAAUGUGGCCUCUCACAAAGCUAGAUUCUCAAGAUGAGUAGCAGUAGAUGAGAAACUUCUCAUCUGGACCUUGCUAUAGUUCUCUUGCCUUCUCUAAAUGUCCUUAGGUUGCUGUGGUCUUAAUUUAGAUGCAGUGAAAACUGCAGAGACCAAGAGCUGAAGCUGACUUUGGACUCUACCCAUGCCUAAUAGCAGAUGAAUGAUCUCCCCUCCCCGCCCCCAAAAGUACCUAACUUUGCUGGGCAUGGUUGUACACACCUUUAAUCCCAGCACUCGGAGGCAGAGGCAGUCGAAUCUGUGUGUGAGUUCGAGGGCAGCCUGGUCUAAAGAUCGACAGCCAAGGUUUGUUCCACAGAGAAACCAUGUCUCCAAAACAAAAACAAAAAAGCACCUAACUUUCUGUAUGCCUUAGUCUCUCCACCUCUAAAAUGUGAGUGUGCUAUGAACAAUAUUUAUAAAGAGUUGAAUGGAGCAUCUGGUGUGUAGUAGGUGCUUUAUUAACAUCACCUAUUGCUAGUUAAAGACCCUUUUCUCUUCCAAAUACAUGACUUACCUCAGCCUGUGCUGCUCGAAAACUCUGUACUUCCUGCCCCCAAACUGUCAAUCCAGGAACGUUUUGUUUGGUUUGUUUUGUUGGGGAGCGGGGUGUCUAGUCUACCAACUGCGUGUCAGUUUUUGUUGUCUGGACCUUCAGAUUGACAUUUGUAUAUUCCGCCUAGCUCAUUUUCAUUCUGUUUUUGUACUUGAAUUUUUAAGAUUUUUUUUUAAUUUCAUAUGCAUGAAUGUUUUUCUUGCUUAUGGCAUACCAUGUGCCUAUUGGAUCCUCUGGAACUGGUAAAUAAACCUGGGUCCUCUGCAAGAGCAGCAAGUGUUGUUGACCACUGAACCAUCACCCUAGCCUAUUUUUUUUUUUUUUUGGUUCCUUUUUUUUUCAGAGCUGGGGACUGAACCCAGGGCCUUUCGCUUCCUAGGGAAGCGCUCCACCACUGAGCUAAAUCCCCAACCCCCACCCUAGCCUAUUUUUAUUCCUACACUAUUUUUUGCUCGUCUGUUUGUUUUCUGAAUCAGGGUUAGUCCAUAUAGCCCCAUUCUGGCUUCCAGUUCAUGAUCUCCAGGACUCAGCCUUUGCAGUGAUGUGGUCAAAGGCAUUAGUCAGUACACCCAGCUACUAGUCUGCCUUUAUCUGAACACUGAUCCUAUUCUCCAUCAUAAACUAGAAGUGCCUGAGGCAUCUGCAUUUUCAAAGAUGCCUUUACCAGCUAACGGCACAAAGCAAUGAAACAGUUUCUAAAAACGAAGAUCUUAGGGUUGGGGAAAUAGUGACAAUGGAUGGCACACACUCAUAACUCACUAUUUGAGAGACAAAAUUAGGGGUAUCACAUGGUUGAGACCACUGUGGUCUACCUGGCCUCAAAAAAAGAUUUUGAAUUCUUUUAUAUAAGUUAUUUUUUAUUAAUCAUUUAUCUGAUUUUGUCUUAAACCACUGUCUUGCUGUCUUACCAAUGGAAUUGGAAUUCUGUCCCCUAAAAAUAGAAAGAGAACUGUAUUAGGUGUCACCUACUCUUGUAACAAAAACUACAAUAUGAUUUGUGAACAAAUGCAUUGUUUCUUUCUUCCCCUCUGCCACUUUUCUCCCUUUUUGGCCUUUUUCUCUCAUCUCACCAUGUACUAUGGAACAUAAGCAAAACUGUCAUUAUGCAAUUGUAUCGAGGAUGAAACCUCUAGGCGUGGUCUGAGCUACCUACUGGCAAUUUCUUAAAUUUGAAAUGGUAUCAUUCAUUUAAGAUGUUGGGGUUCAGGAGUCACCCCACAAACCACACAAACAGAUCUUUGUCAGACAGGGAUAGUUUACUGAAUGCAUAUCCUAAGACUGAUCAAUCAGGGUGGCAGCUCUCAGCGGUUUAGGUGCUGAAGAUGUAACUCAGAUGUAGAGUCCAUACAUACCAUGGGUGGGUUGUAUAUUUGAUUCCCAGCAUCCACUCUUCCAGCUACCCAAAUAUGGUCUGUCAGAUUACAGACAUGUUGCCUGGAAAGUCUGGCACAGUUAUUGGAGAGUUUGUCUGGCACUCAUGGAAGCCUGGAUCCGGUCCCUCACACAACAUAAGUCUGGUACAUUGGCACAGGUCUUUCAACCCAGCAUUUCGAGAAAAUUGAGACAAAAGGAUCUGAGUUUUGAGGCUAGGCUGGUCUACAUUAAGUUCUAGGCCAGCAAAGACAACACAGUGAGAUUCUGUAUCAAAAAGAUAAAAGGUUAUAGAGAUCUGCCCAGAUGUGAUGGUGUGUCCUUAGAGACGGGAGGAUCAGACAUUCAACAUCAGCUUUGGUUUCUAAACCAAAUUCUGAUCUCAAAAAACAAACGAAACCAGGAGAGGGACAAAGAGAUCUAACACACUGUGUAACACUAGAAGUCACUGCAAGAUAGAAAUUUCCAACACUAUCUGAAAAUAUCGAGCUAAUGUUAUUCACAAGAUUUAUUUUUGUCAUCCCACAAACCACACAAACACCAAUCUCAGACAGGCAUUUAUUGAAUGCACAGUCUAAGACUGUGACCAAUCAGGGCCAUAGCUCAGAAUUUGGGGACUGAGAUUACAACCCCUAAAACAUUUUUCUAUGUCAGGUUUAUAAGGGCAAAACCUGCGAAAAUCAUGAUGAGCUCAUAUGCAAAUGCAAGCAUAGCAUGAUACAUGGUUGUUGACCUUUAAUUUGAUGGGUCCUACAUGACUUGUAGUUAUGGAAGUUCAUAACAUAUAGAACACAUAGCAGGGUAUGUAGUUAGCAUGACCCUGCUCUGAGUUAAGUUACUUUUCGUGUCAAUGACUGACAGGCAUAUUACAGCUACAAUCUGAAAUAGCUGGUGGGGAUGGAACAAAAUGACUGUAGUUAUGCUAGUGGGGCAGACCCCACAAUCUGAAUGCUUGCUUAUUCAUGAGACUAUUUUUAACCAUCCUACAUUUUUACUUGCCUGUAUUACAUUUAAACAUUUUUAAAUUGUCCGAUUGUAGUUCAACUAAAAAGAAAACUUAUUUAAGAUUGUAGAAAGCCUUGCCUUAAAGUAGUUUUGCUUAAAGUGUCUUCAGAAUCGUUUUUCCAGCAAAAAUGUAAUACAAUUUCAUAGUUCAGUAGAUAAAGGCAGACUUGGAAUUAGAAAAUAUGAAUUAUUAAAUCUACUGAAUGUGGGCAGUUGCUUAUAGAUCUUCACUCUUUUUUUUAAAGAUUUAUUUAUUCAUUUAUUAUAUAUAAGUACACUGUAGCUGUCUUCAGACACACCAGAAGAGGGCAUCGGAUCUCCUUUUUUUUUUUUUUUUGGUUCUUUUUUUUGGAGCUGGGGACUGAACCCAGGGCCUUGCGCUUCCUAGGCAAGCGCUCUACCACUGAGCUAAAUCCCCAACCCCGCAUCGGAUCUCCUUACAGAUGGUUGUGAGCCACCAUGUGGUUGCUGGGAAUUGAACUCAGGACCUCUGGAAGAGCAGUCGGGUGCUCUUAACCGCUGAGCCAUCUCUCCAGCCCAGAUCUUCAGUCUUGAUCCUGCUCACAUUUCUGAAUUCUAAUUCAAAAAUCAUAAUUUUUCCAUUCUACCUAUAUCCCCCUACAUACACUAAAUAAAUAAAUGUUUUUAAAAGACUGUGGCACUGGAGAGAUGGCUCAUAGGUUUAAGAAUGCAUGCCUUUCAGCAAUCCACUGAACUGAGAACGGGACCCCUGUUGAAGGAAUCUUAGAAAGGACUGAAAGAGCUUGAAGGGGCUUGAGACCCCAUAUGAACAACAAUGCCAACCAACCAGAGCGUCCAGGACUAAGCCACUACCCAAAGACUAUACAUGGACUGACCCUGGACUCUGACCCCAUAGGUAGCAAUGAAUAGCCUAGUAAGAGCAUCAGUGGAAGGGGAAGCCCUUGGUACUGCCAAGCCUGAUCCCCCAGUGAACGUGAUUGUUGGGGGGAGGGCGGUAAUGGGGGGAGGAUGGGAAGGGGAACACCCAUAUAGAAGAGGAGGGGGAAGGGUUAGGGGGAUGUUGGCCCGGAAACCAGGAAGGGGAAUAACAAUCGAAAUGUAAAUAAGAAAUACUCAAGUUAAUAAAGAUGGAGAAAAAAAGAAAAGAAAAAAGAAUGCAUGGUGUUCCUGCAGAAGACUGGAUUCUAGUUCUCUGCACCCACACCAGACAUCCUACAACUGUCUGUAACAACAGCUCUGGGAGAAUGCAGUCCUUCUGGUCUUUGAUUACCCAUACCCAUACACAUACUUUUUGAAUUUUUUUAAAGCAUUCAAAUUAUGAGUUUGAUAAGGAGACUAUCUUUCAGACCAACGCUUUUCACUGUAUUCAGGAACUAUGGCAGAACAUAAGUCAAAGAGGGCUGGAGAUGAAGCUCUGGGUUGCAGCAGAUACCAUGUUCAAGGCCCUUGAUUAGAUGUCCUGAACAAAAUAUAUUAAAGAAAAAGAAAAGAUGAUCAUGGAAACUCAUGAAACAAAGGACUGCACUCAUCCUAAGGGAACACACAGCCACUUAUUCUAAGGCAAACGUGAUCAUGCACUGUGGGCAUAAAGUUGCCUCAAAACAAACAAGCAAACAAACAAACAAAACAUGAUCUAGUGUGAAAAUAGUUACAUGAACUUAAAAAGCAAACAAACACUAAAGUUUAUGUAACCACACUCACUUUGUACAAAGUCCUGGCUGACCCCGGAACUUACAGUAUAGAGAAGGGUACUGGGAUUACAAGUGGCCUGUCACAUCUAUCAGAGAUUUAUAUGUGUUCUGGGGAUCCCAGCUCCAUUCCCCAUUCUUAUGUGAGUCAUUCCCCAGCCUUUAGAGGGGUUCUAGUUAGUCAGUCCUGAAGAACCUGAAACAGGUAUGUCUCCUUUUGGGGGAUGUUUGUUAUUUAAUGUUGGCCUACAAUCCUGUAGCAGGCACUUAAAAUCAUUGACUUCUUACUUGGACCAACAGAAUGAACUGAAAGCAAGAUAGAAGCUUGGCACCUACCUCUAGCUUAAUUUUGUGUCUCUGUCAUUCUGGCUCCAGCUUAGCUUGCAUAGGCAUGUUAGCCAUUCCAGGAGUGUCUGUUUACACAGCCAGUCCAACUCCUUCAAGGCUGAAGGGGCAGACAUCUCAUUUUCCUACACCUGAAUUCACCUUAGAUUCCAGGAACAGCAAGACAUCAUAGGGCAGACCACAGGCAGAUAAGGGUAAUUAUGGAAGAAUGUGAGGCUGCUGCUUAUAGCUUAAGUGAUCAACUUGCAGGAACAAGAUUGUUUCAAGUCAGGACUUCUUCAGCCCACCUUGCCGAGUCAGGACUGAAAUGCAGAUCAAAAGGCAACACUGUGACCAUGACUUCUAAUACCUAUACAUCUCCAUCCUGUUCCCCGGGAACUGUAGUUACUACGUUUAAACCUAAAGGUAAUAUCAGAACCUCUCAAAGAGGAACUCGGGGGUCCUUGAAAUUUAUUUGUUCCUAUCCCCAACAUGUUGGUUAAAUCUCUCUCUGCUUUUUAUCUCUUUAAUUGGAGAGUUGGUGCAGAGGCCAAGCUGCGAGCUUGUUGAGACAGGGGACUUUGUCCUUCCAUUUUGACUACAGUUCCAGCACUGCAGAGACUGUUACAGGAGUAGCACACCAGGGGAGGAAUCCAGGCCAGCCUAAGUGUACAGUGAGCCUCAGCCUCAACCAUGGGAGAGGGAUGCCUAACAUACAUGUGACUACUGGACUCAAUUUCCAGCAUCUUAAAUUUAAAAAAAGAGCAUUAAUUUCUAUAUUGUAACUCACACACAUACAUCAUUCUAGCACUUAGGAAACUGAGGCAGGAGGAUUUCCAAGAAAUUCCAGGAUUUCCAAGGAUUUCCAGGCUAGCUGGGCUAUACUACAUUAUGUUACACAUAUAUAAUAUAUUAAGACAUUGCUAUAAUAGUAGGUUUGUAUUUAAAUCCAACUUUGCCUUUUUAGCUGGGUGGUAUUGGGCAAAGUAUUAAACCAUUUGUUUGACUUUGAAAAAUGAAAUCUGAUCAAAACACCAUAAAAAAUUCUCAAAGAGCUAAUAAAUUUUAAAAAUUGAAAGUACAGAAAAGGAAAAGAUGUACCAGAGGUGGGGCCUGGUGGCACACGCCAGAGUCAGGAGUUCAAGGUCAUUCCGUAUAUAUACAUAUAUAUAUAUUUUUUUUUAAGGACUAUAUACAUAUGGGUAAUUAAGGAAUGUAUAUAUGUAUAUACAUAUAUAUAUUUAAGGUAUAUAUAUAUGGGUAAUUAAGAUAUAUAUAUUUAAGGAAUAUAUAUGGGUAAUAUAUAUGUAUGUAUAUAUAUAUAUAUGUAUAUAUAUAGUCAGAGGACAGCACAGGCUACAGAAUGUCAAGUAUCAAGGCCAAAAGAACAAUUGGUGUGUCUGUUAGUUACUUCUCUGUUGCUGUGAUAAAACAGCAUGGGUUAUAGUCCUCAAUGUCUAAGAAUCUGUCAUGGCCAGUAAGCACAGCAGCAAGUGGCAGCAAGUGGCAGGGUUGCAGAAUGAAGCAGAGUUCAAACAGAGAAUGCUAUUCAGCACCCUCACACUUUUAUAUUUUGUCCAGAGAAGCCAAUGCAUAUGUCUGCACAAAAUAGAACGUAGUCCUCAAAGCUUUACUCACUACAUUCAGUGUCACGAUGAAGAUCUAGCUCAGGUGACAGAGCGUCUUCCCAAUACAUGCAAGGCCUUGGGUCCAUUCCUGGCACAAACAAAAAGGAACAAUGUCUGUCAAUACAUAAGCGAGCCAAUCAAGGCAGACAGACUCCUAUAGAUUUGGAACUAUCACUGGUCCAAUCCACAGAUUCUGGCAGUGAAGUCUUAGCAUCCCAUAAGCACUAAAGAGUAAAAGAAGGCAGACCAAAAGGGUUCUGUUCAUUCUAUACCCAUCUCUAUGUGAAAGAUUAUAUACUAUUUCACUCUGUUUCUAUAACACUCUAGGAAAGGAAAAUUCAUAACUAGAGAAGAUACCGUGGGUUCUAGGGACAGACAAGAUCCUGACUUCAAGGGGACCUUCUUGAGUGAAGGCAAGAUAUAAUAGAUUUUGGAGGUAGAGAGAGGUGAAGGCUCAACCUGUAGCCCAGCAUGGCCUUGAACUUUAGGUAAUUCUUCAGCUAUAGUGCUGGGAUUACAGGCAUAACUCUCCACAAUGGGUUUUAAGUACCAAGAAUUGAAUUCAGGGUGGUUUUCUACACCAGGCAAUCAAUCUCUCAGCUGAGCUUAACUUAAGCCCCAGUCUUAUUGGUAGUCUUUUAUAUGGUAAUUUUGGCGGUAAUUACAUAGUUUCAUAUACUUGUCAAGAUACAAUUUAUACAUCUGAAAUUAUAUAUUUUAACUUUAGCAGGUGUUGUGAUACUUGCCUGUAAUCUCUAAUAUCAGGGGGAGAGAUUAGAUAGAAUGAGUUUUAGGCCAGGAUGGAUACAAGACAUCUAGUCUCAAAAAACAAAAGAAAGAAAUAUAUCCAGCCUGGUGGUAACAGUCUGUAAUCCAAACCUCCCCAAAACUGAGGACAGCCUUGGAAAUACACACACACACACACACACACACACACACACACACACACACAAUCUCAAAAAAAUUGGCUUUAUUUCUUGUAAAUUAUACCUGACCAGAUAACACUUCCAUAGACUUUCUGAUGAAAACAACAAGGUACACAGAGAGAGUCAAAUAGGGACUUGAGAUUACAGGAGUCUUGAAAGCUCAUCUACAGACUGCCUACUCUGAUGCAUUCUAGUGAAUAAUCGCCAUGCUUGCCAAGCAUGGCGCAGGAUGCACUUAAUGUCUCCUCACCACUUGUCAGCAUUAAGUCAUGGGAUAAAGAAGGAUAAGGGAAAGAAUCUAUGAAAUAUCACAAGAACUAUAAGAAGACUAUGACAUUAAAAUUAAUUUUUUAAAGAUUUAUUUAUUUAUUACAUAUAAGUGCACUGUAGCUGUCUUCAGACACACCAGAGAGGACAUCAGAUCUCAUUUAUAGAUGGUUGUGAGCCACCAUGUGAUUGCUGGGAGUUGAAUUCAGGACUUCUAGAGGAACAUUCAGUGCUUUUAACCACUGAGCCACCUCUCUAGCCCUUAAAACUAAAGUAAAUAAGGGGUUGGGGAUUUAGCUCAGUGGUAGAGCGCUUGCCUAGCAAACGCAAGGCCCUGGGUUCGGUCCCCAGCUCCGAAAAAAAAAAUGAAAAAUAAUAAAGUAAAUAUAGUUCAUUGAAAUGCUACACAAAGUUGUGGGCAGUUGGUUCCAUCUGCCUAGAAUUUGUCACAUAAAGCAGUAGAAACACCUUUCCUCCAAAUGCUCUUUAUUUUGAGGCAGCAUCUUACUCUUUGAUGCAGGUUGGCAAGGAAGUCAUUAUGUGACCCAGGUCGGCUGCAAAUUUAAGGCAGACCUUUUGUUUUGACUCAACUCCCCAAUUUCUGAGAUUGCAAGUGCAUGCCGUUGUGAGUGCUUAGUAACUGUUGUUGUGAGUUGGAAAGUAGCUUGUUUCCCAACAGAUCACUCCAGGCUAGUCCAAUCCCUCAAGAGGUUCUUUAUUGAAUGGGGCUGGGAGGAGCGGGGGAGGAUGAGGAAGAGAAGAAUAGAAAGGGGUCAGGGUCUCUGUCUAUUAUCUGGGGCCGUGAAGUCGAUGCCAGGUAAUGACAUGCACCACCAUGCACAGACAUACUCCGGGAGCGUGUGGAAGUUGCCUUGGCAACAGGUGCCAAGCGCUCCUUGUCGCCUAGAGAUGACGUCAUCGCUGGAGUGGAGGCUAACUAAUUGUGUCCCUAAAGAGACCUUUUGAGGUACCUCGUGCAGCUAGAGAAAAGCUAGUAGAGACGGAAUACACAUCGAAGGAUGUCGGUGUCAACUGCAGCUGUUCACAGAGGCAUGAAGAGAUCAGUGGAUCCUCCGAAGCUCAAUUUACAAGUGGUUGGAGAGAGGAUUGGAUCUGGAAAUUCAGUUCUUUUUCAUGUAGAAAUUCAACUUUUCCAGCACCAUUUGCUUGUUCCACAAUGUACAUUUUUGACUGCUUCAUUUAAAAAAAAAUGGGGGACUGGGCUAGGCACCAUAGUGUACCCUUUUUAAUACCAGCACUUGGGAAUCAGGAGCAAAUAGAUCUCUGGAUUUGAAGCCAUCAUGGUCAACAUAGUGAGCUUCAGACUAUCCAAAGCUAUAUGCAGAGAUCCUGUCUCAAAAAAAAGAAGAAAUAAACCAAACCAAACAAACAAAAGAAUUGACUGUAACUGUGUGUGUCAUCUCUGGUCCUAUAUGCUAUUUUUUGAUUUACAAGUCUGUUUUGUAAUAGUACUAUGCUAUCUUUGUUAGUAUGACUCUGUGUUAUAACCAGAGAUUGGGUAUUGUGAUAUCUGUAAUGUUAGUGUUUUUACUGAGGAUAUUGUAGAGGGGUGUGUGUGUGUGUGUGUGUGUGUGUGUGUGUGUGUGUGUGUGUGUGCGUGCUUCCAUAUGAAGUUUGGGUUGCUUUUCCUAGUUCUGUGAAAAAUAUCACCAGAAUUUUGAGGAAUACCCUGGCAAAUCUAUGGAUAGCUUCCAGAAAUAAAGCCAUUUGUACAAUAUCAAUUCUGCUGACCCAUGACCAUGGAACCUUUUCUCAUCUUCUAGUGUCUUGUUAAAUUUCUUUUCCUCAGUUUCUUAAAGCAGUGAUGUCCAAUCUUUUGGCUUCUCUGGGCCAUACUGGAUAAAGAAGAAUUUUCUUGCACCACACAAAUAUUAAUGAAAUACACAAGUAUUAAUGAAAGUUAAUGGGAAAACAUGGCUCUGUUUAUAAUUUUUAUAUCUGCACCAAAGCUAAGCAAAAACUUCCACACAUAAUAAUCCCAAUUUUUUUUUCUUUCUUUCUUUUUUUCUUUUUUUCAGAGCUGGGGACCGAACCCAGGGCCUUGCGCUUGCUAGGCAAGCUCUCUACCGCUGAGCUAAAUCCCCAACCCCCAAUAAUCCCAAUUUUUAAACUUGGUGUGGUGGCACAGCCUGUGAUCCCAUCACUUAUAGAUAGCAAUGGGAGGAUUCAAGUUCAAGGUUAUCCCCACAUGUCGUGAGCUUAAGGGUAGCUCACUAUAUUAAAAAGGAAAACCUGGGCUGCAGAGAUGGCUCAUCACUGACAGCUCUUCCAGAGGUCCUAAGUUCAAUUCCCAGCAACCACAUGAUGGCUCCCAACCAUCUGUAAUGGGAUCUGAUGCCCUCUUCUGAUGUGUCUAAGACAGCAACAGUGUACUCAUAAAAAUAAAUAAAUCUAACAAACAAACAGAAAACCUUUUAAGACAGUGUCUCUCCUAUCCAACCCAAGGCAUGUCUGGAACUCACUAUUGUAGCUCAACAUUCCUCAAAUUCAUGUUCUUACUGUCUUGGUGUUGGGGUUGUAAAUGCAUUCCACAAUGACCAGCUCGUGAUUCCUUUUAUUUUUUUUUAAACUUAAUUUUUAAUUAUGUGAGUUUGUGCUUGUGAGUGCAGUUCCUGAUAAGGCCAGAAGAGGGAGUGGUAUCCUCAAGAAGUGGAGGUACAGGUACCUGCAAGCUGCUUGAUGUGGGUGCUGGGAACUUGGGUCUUCUGCAAAAGCCCCUUAAUUAUUUAUUAUUAUUAUCACUGUUACUAUGGUUGUAGAUUGUAGACUCUGAUGGAGAGAGAAGAGAAUCUAAGAAAUCAGUGUUUGGGGGCUGGAGAGAUGGCUCAGCGGUUAAGAGCACCGACUGCUCUUCCAGAGGUCCUGAGUUCAAUUCCCAGCAACCACAUGGUGGCUCACAACCAUCUAUAAAGAGAUCCGAUGCCAUCUUCUGGUGUGUCUGAAGACAGCUACAGUGUACUUAUAUAAAUGAAUAAAUGAAUAAAUCUUUAAAAAAAAGAAAUCAGUGUUUGUAAUAUCAUAGUUAGCUCAAAUCUAAUAUAUUAAAUUUUUCUAAUAAAAGUGCUCUCUAGAAAGGACAUAAUUAUGGCAUAGUUCCCACCACUGGAAAGGUGUGUGAGCAUUGACUCAGCACUCUCCUGACACCCUUAGCCCUCACUAACGAUGAACCUCAGAAGCUGCAGAAGGGCCUCUGCUCAGGCUCAGGGCAGCCAGAUCUGCCAGAAAUCAUUCAACCCCAAACACACCUCUACAGCUAAGCGCUUCUGUACCAUGGGGCACACAGAUGUGUAUUCUGUCAUUUUCUCCAGACCCUGGGCACUCACACUGAAUCCUCCCCCGUUCGCUUGUGACCUUCUCUUCUUGGAGUUACUUUUCCCUUCCUCACCCAGGUCAAGAGUUUUCUCAUAAAUUGCCUGUAUUGUUGUUAUUUGAACUCAGGACCUCUGGAAGAGCAGUCGGUGCUCUUAACCACUGAGCUAUCUCUCCAGCCACUGUGUUGUUGUUAUUGACCCAGGCUGCACAUAGGAAACCCAGACUAGUUUAGAAAUACUGUGUCAUUUGGUCAUCAGAACUGAGAGGAUAGCAGGCUAGUAUUAUUUCCCUUUUAAUAGAAGCAGAGCUGUCUCUUCUUCAAAAUCACUAUUAGGAUUAAUCUUGAUGUGACUACAGACAUUGUAGAUGAAAACGUUAUGAUUGCCAGCGUGCUGCUAAUCAGCACCACUUACCAUAGUGUCCUAGCACACCAAAGUUAACAAAGCCACCACAGCGAUAUGGCGCUGACAGACACGCGUGGCUGUCAGCACCAUGGAUGUAACUGAAGGCUUUACUAGUACAGCUGCACACUGCACAGGAUGUGUUUGCUUGUCUGUUUGUUUUAGGAAACACGGUCUCUAUAUGUAGCCCUGGCUGUUCUGAAACUUUCUAUGUAGACCAGGCUGGCCUCAAACUUACAGAGAUCCACCUGCCUCUGCUUCCCCAGUGCUGGGGCAAAAGGUCUGCAAAGAUUCGUAGCUUUGCUGGGAUUGAAGACAUAUGCAUUGCUUGGGGCUCCUCCUCCUCCUCCUUCAUCAUUUUAACUCAAGGGUUAAUGACCUAACACAAUGAAUCUCAAAAAAAGUGAGAAACAACUCCCAAGUCAGCAUACCCAUAAGAAGACCUGUAGGACAAGAGCCUACACUGUGGUAAGAAUCCCUGCAAGGAGCUUUGGCCUGGAAGCUACAAAGAACAAAUCUCAGAUAAAACUUCCUCCCCCAAAGUUCCUUCUGCUCCAAUAAAGCCCCAAGCCCCACCCCACCCCCAUUUCCCCACCGUGCUUGGGCACAUUCUCCGCAUUCACAGAGAGACUGCUAAACUUUAUCCACCUCUACAGAAGCCACUCUCCUUCUUUUAUUUCCACAUCUCCUUAAUCAGUCUAGACCUAACACUAACCACUAACCAUACCUUCCUUCUGGCCCGAAUCAUGGGGAUUGUCCUGAUCUUGCUGAUGCCCAGGGUCCUACUUCUGUCAGUAAGUUCCCAAAAGAUUAUUCACGCUGCUCUAUUUUUCCUCUGGCAUCUUGAAUUCGACAUUAAAUUAAUACACGCAUGUUGUGUUUUCCCCCCCGCAAAAUAGGUAGGUUCCAAUGAGAAUUCACAGCUAUAUGAAUUCAAGUAGGAACUACGAAGCAAUUUCUUUCCUUUUUUUUUUUUUUUUUUGGUUAAAAAUAUAUUUUCAGAAAAAGAUGCGUGGUUCAGUGUAAUGAAUUAAGGUAAGAAACCAUCCAGGAGCACAGGAUGGUAAGAAAUAUGUUCAACUAAGAUGGUGAGUUAAAAAGGAAAAGCUAGGGGCUGGGGAUUUAGCUCAGUGGUAGAGCGCUUGCCUAGCAAGCACAAGGCCCUGGGUUCGGUCCCCAGCUCCGAAAAAAAGAAAAGAAAAAAGAAAAAAAAAAGAAGAAAAGCUAGGUAAGUUCAAAUGAACCAAAGGUCCUCUCAAAACAUAAAAGGAAGACUGGGAAGGUGCUACUACUAUUCUUGCUAUCUCUAGAAUAGAAGCUUCUGAUUCAUUAGUACUACUGUGACUCUGGGAUAGAUAGGACUCCCUUCUGAGUCUGAAUUUUCAUUCAAAAAUAGUUUUGGGGGCUGGGGAUUUAGCUCAGUGGUAGAGCACUUACCUAGGAAGCGCAAGGCCCUGGGUUCGGUCCCCAGCUCCGGAAAAAAAAAAAAAAAAAAAAAAGAACCAAAAAUAGCUUUGAAACACCAACAGGAGUCAUAGCUUUUGGGAGAUGUGCUUGUGGUCAUUAAGACAAUAGAACUUCAACUUUAUAAAAAUUCUAGAAAGUUGCACUGCUGAGUUUGAAAUAUUACAAAAAGGAUUUCACCUUCAUUUUCAUUAUUCUAUUCCACCCCUUCCUCCAAUUUAACUCUCACCUCGCCCACAUGUAUUCUUCUUAGAAUCAGUCUGGCAACUGGAGGGUUGAGGCAGACCAAAGAAUUUGAGACCAACCUGAGCUAUACCACGUUUUCAAAAGGAAAUGGGAGGGGGGGGAGAUAUAAAGAAAGGAAGCAAAGCUUACACUUUUAUUUAUUUGUAUUUGUUAAGUACCUGCAUGGGUUCAUGUGCAGGUGCGCUUGGAAGCCAGCGUGCACCAGUUCCCCUGGAAAUGGAGCUACACACAGCUGAGGGUGGCUAAUUUGUGUGUUUAGAACCAAACCAAGGUCUUCUACAAAAGCAGCAAGUACUUUUUUUAACCACUGAGCCAUUUUACUAGCCUCGAGAAAAGAAUCUUGAUGCUGCCUGGCUACUGACUUCUAGACUAUUCUGUUCCUUCUAGUGACAGUCAUUAUGUGCUACCAGAAAGCUAGCCUUCUAGACACAUACAAGUCCUUCUGUUGUGUCUGAUCCAAUUAAUGAGAGGAGCUUAAGCCAUUGUUCCUACCCCACCCCUGAGUAUUGUUUUCUCUGAAUUCGCUUCAGACCCUUUUCAGUCAUUCUCUUUCUCGACUAUUCUUCUUCUUGCAUGCCAUGCUUCAGAAUGUAGGACAGCAUAGAGCUCAAUGUUGAAUGCAGGUGGAAGGACAAGAAAGGCCAGGCAGGAGAAAUGAGUUUUUCACCCCCA